rfam:Piloderma croceum F 1598 unplaced genomic scaffold scaffold_00052, whole genome shotgun sequence.
GGUGGCAUGAUCCAGCGGUUAAGAUGACAGGUUUUGAAGUGCCGCCGCUGACGUAAGGCCAAAUUCCUGUUUACCCAGGUUCGAAUCCUGGUGUCACCU